rnacentral:rRNA from 1 species
GACGAACGCUGGCGGCGUGCUUAACACAUGCAAGUCGAACGGAAAGGCCCUGCUUUUGUGGGGUGCUCGAGUGGCGAACGGGUGAGUAACACGUGAGUAACCUGCCCUUGACUUUGGGAUAACUUCAGGAAACUGGGGCUAAUACCGGAUAGGAGCUCCUGCUGCAUGGUGGGGGUUGGAGAGUUUCGGCGGUUGGGGAUGGACUCGCGGCUUAUCAGCUUGUUGGUGGGGUAGUGGCUUACCAAGGCUUUGACGGGUAGCCGGCCUGAGAGGGUGACCGGCCACAUUGGGACUGAGAUACGGCCCAGACUCCUACGGGAGGCAGCAGUGGGGAAUAUUGCACAAUGGGCGGAAGCCUGAUGCAGCAACGCCGCGUGCGGGAUGACGGCCUUCGGGUUGUAAACCGCUUUCGCCUGUGACGAAGCGUGAGUGACGGUAAUGGGUAAAGAAGCACCGGCUAACUACGUGCCAGCAGCCGCGGUGAUACGUAGGGUGCGAGCGUUGUCCGGAUUUAUUGGGCGUAAAGGGCUCGUAGGUGGUUGAUCGCGUCGGAAGUGUAAUCUUGGGGCUUAACCCUGAGCGUGCUUUCGAUACGGGUUGACUUGAGGAAGGUAGGGGAGAAUGGAAUUCCUGGUGGAGCGGUGGAAUGCGCAGAUAUCAGGAGGAACACCAGUGGCGAAGGCGGUUCUCUGGGCCUUUCCUGACGCUGAGGAGCGAAAGCGUGGGGAGCGAACAGGCUUAGAUACCCUGGUAGUCCACGCUGUAAACGGUGGGUACUAGGUGUGGGGUCCAUUCCACGGGUUCCGUGCCGUAGCUAACGCUUUAAGUACCCCGCCUGGGGAGUACGGCCGCAAGGCUAAAACUCAAAGGAAUUGACGGGGCCCCGCACAAGCGGCGGAGCAUGCGGAUUAAUUCGAUGCAACGCGUAGAACCUUACCUGGGUUUGACAUGGAUCGGGAGUGCUCAGAGAUGGGUGUGCCUCUUUUGGGGUCGGUUCACAGGUGGUGCAUGGCUGUCGUCAGCUCGUGUCGUGAGAUGUUGGGUUAAGUCCCGCAACGAGCGCAACCCUUGUUCACUGUUGCCAGCACGUUAUGGUGGGGACUCAGUGGAGACCGCCGGGGUCAACUCGGAGGAAGGUGGGGAUGACGUCAAGUCAUCAUGCCCCUUAUGUCCAGGGCUUCACGCAUGCUACAAUGGCUGGUACAGAGAGUGGCGAGCCUGUGAGGGUGAGCGAAUCUCGGAAAGCCGGUCUCAGUUCGGAUUGGGGUCUGCAACUCGACCUCAUGAAGUCGGAGUCGCUAGUAAUCGCAGAUCAGCAACGCUGCGGUGAAUACGUUCCCGGG